rnacentral:rRNA from 1 species
UAACAACAGAUGAUGCCCUAUCAACUGUUUUAAAAAGUAUGGUUCUGCUAUCACUCUUGGGAUGGGACCCUGCGGUGCAUUAGCUAGUUGGUAGGGUAACGGCCUACCAAGGCGAUGAUGCAUAGCCGAGUUGAGAGACUGAUCGGCCACAUUGGGACUGAGACACGGCCCAAACUCCUACGGGAGGCAGCAGUAGGGAAUCUUCCACAAUGGACGAAAGUCUGAUGGAGCAACGCCGCGUGAGUGAAGAAGGUUUUCGGAUCGUAAAGCUCUGUUGUUGGUGAAGAAGGAUAGAGGUAGUAACUGACCUUUGUUUGACGGUAAUCAAUUAGAAAGUCACGGCUAACUACGUGCCAGCAGCCGCGGUAAU